rnacentral:rRNA from 1 species
CUACGGGUGGCUGCAGUGAGGAAUUUUGCGCAAUGGGGGUAACCCUGACGCAGCAACGCCGCGUGAGUGAUGAAGGCUUUCGGGUCGUAAAGCUCUGUCAAGUGGGAAGAAUAUACGAAAUGCUAAUACCAUUUUGUACUGACGGUACCACUGAAGGAAGCACCGGCUAACUCCGUGCCAGCAGCCGCGGUAAUACGGGGGGUGCAAGCGUUAUUCGGAAUUAUUGGGCGUAAAGCGCACGUAGGCGGCCGCUUAAGUCAGAUGUGAAAGCCCGGGGCUCAACCCCGGAAGUGCAUUUGAAACUAAGGGGCUUGAGUAUGGGAGAGGGAAGUGGAAUUCCUGGUGUAGAGGUGAGAGUCGUAGAUAUCAGGAGGAACACCGGUGGCGAAGGCGACUUCCUGGACCAAUACUGACGCUGAGGUGCGAAGGCGUGGGGAGCAAACAGGAUUAGAUACCCUCGUAGUC